CAAUGACUCCGAUCGCCGUUCUCGUCUGGGCUUUUGUCUGCUAUGCUAGAGAGUCUUGGGGGCAGGUUGUGUUGACUCAGUCUGCAGCUCAGUCUGUGCUGCCUGGUCAGUCUGUCUCCAUCACCUGUAAAGCCAGUUCUGCAGUUUACCAGUACAGUGGAGCCCAGUACUAUCUUGCCUGGUACCAGCAGAGAGCUGGAGAACCUCCCAAACUCCUCAUCUACCUAACCUCAGACAGGUUCACCGGAGUGCCCUCUCGAUUCACUGGUAGUGGUGGUGGGAACGGCAUAGAUUUCACUCUGACCAUCAGUGGGGUCCAGGCUGAAGAUGCAGGAGAUUAUUACUGUCAGAGUUACCACUACAUCAGUAGUAAAAAUGUGUACACACAGUGA